CGUUGUCUCUCGGUGCGAGGAGCGUUGCCGGAAUCUAGGGGCACUCGCCACCGAGUGGGAGAACACCGUCGAGAGGGAGGAUUCAAGCCACAUAGAGGGGAGAAUGCAAAGCGCGUGCACGAGGCAGUAAAGCAGCAAGUCGAAUCAGCCGAGGGUAGCUACGACGAACACUCGUGGGGAGGCGAUUACUGGUCGGUAGACGGCGGUAUAAGAGAACACCCCUGGGGCGCAGCCGCCGCUCGAUAAAGCUCCUCCACCCCUUUGCGCUUACUUCGCGUUCUCUUUCUCGUGCCCCUGCCUGGAACGUUCCUACGAUAUUUACACCUUCGAGUUGACUACGACCCUGCUCCACAAACUGGAAACCUGACCGAUUGAAAGUUCGCAGAGGACAACAAUUCCAACUGGACUUCUACCGUCUAUGUAUGUAACCGAGUGGUAGCAACCGUGGACUGACCUACCUUCACAGGCAUACAUGCACACUCGCGCGAGCGUGUCUAUAGGAUAAAUGAGCGGUCAUAUUUUAUUGAUUCGUUUUUAUGAUUAGUUUAAUAAUUGAGCAAGGAAAUCGAUCCCGGAGCUUGUUAACUCUUUGCACUCGUUUUACUUUCGAUGUUCUUCAUCUCAAGAGUGCAAAGGGUGAACGCAGAACUCUUUUCAAAAAGAAAUCCAAAAUUGAAUGACUCUUUUUAAAUUCAGAAGUGAAUCAUUCGAUUUUGGCUCGAUUUGCACACAAAUCUCUCGUCAUAUGCCAGUAAGGAGGACGCGAACUUCUCUAUGUUUAUAUUGGGCAGAAAUCCAACGAGUUUAUAUAUGGCUCGUGUAGAGACGAAGAAGGAAUAAAUGAGAUGGACGUAUAAUGAAGUAAAUCCGGUUAGAGAAGUAUUUGUUUAAUUUCUAUGUGCAUAAUAGCAAGAAGUAGGGCGAGAGAAUCGUCUAUUCUUUUUUUUUUCUCGCGUUUCUUAUCCGAUGCUAUUACGAGCACAGAGAUCCACUUUCCUCUCUAAAACAAGAGUGCACUUCAGGUCUUUUCCCCUGCCAGUUUUUUUCUAUACUUGCUUUCGUAUCCCUCAUUAAUUCCUUUCUCCUUGAUAAAAGUAAAGAGGAUAAGAACCAAUGAUGUUAAAUCUUCAUCUCGUUCAAAUCGUUUUAAGCCAUAACAGUCCCCCGCAAUUAGGCCAAUUUAUGUUUUAAAUUCUAUGCGUUCGAAAGAUGAAGACUUAUUAAUAAAAACACACAAAUUAGUAUAA